rnacentral:rRNA from 1 species
UACGUAGGGGGCUAGCGUUGUCCGGAAUCAUUGGGCGUAAAGAGCGCGUAGGCGGCCAGAUAAGUCCGGUGUGAAAGUCAAAGGCUCAACCUUUGAAUGCCGCUGGAAACUGUCUGGCUAGAGUCCGGGAGGGGCGAGUGGAAUUCCUGGUGUAGCGGUGAAAUGCGCAGAUAUCUGGAGGAACACCGGUGGCGAAGGCAGCGUCCUGGACCAACACUGACACUGAAAAGCGAAAGCCAGGGGAGCAAACGGG